CCCGUGAACCCGACGAGGGGUACGGGACGAAAUGUGACGCGGGAGACGUGACGUCUCCGGGAGGCGGCCCCACCGCCGACGUUGAAUCGCAAG
rnacentral:ncRNA from 1 species